UGGUAAAACUAAAAUUUCAUAUAACAAAAAAAAAAACUAUUCUUUCAAAAAUAAAUCUAAAAAUUAUUAUUAAUUAAAUUUGCCAAAAAAGCAACAAGAACACAAGAAAAAAUUAUAGAAAAAAAAAAAAAUUACAAAAUUUUUUUUGAUUGUAUACUUAUAAAAUUAAUUUUUAAUUCUUGCAUCUAUACCUACAUACGUUACAUGUACAGAAAUUUGUAACGAUUUGGCGAUAAUAAUAUAGAAGAAUAACAAGAAGAAGAGAAAAAUAAAAUGAUCGCCUGUAAAAAAUUAAAAGGGCUUUAAAUUAAAAUUUGAAAAGUUUAUGUGAAAAACAAAUUUGAAAACUUAAAAUAAAUUUAAAGAAUUUUGUAGCAGAACACAUACAUACUAACACUGGGGCAUCAAUAAAAUAUUUAUCAACAAUAUUACAUUUGUGUAAAGGUUCUCUUGCAUAACGUUUAUGAACAAUUUUACAUCAGUGUACUCAAAUUGUCAGUGUAGUCGAUUUAAUUCAGACCUUGUUCUUCGUAUUUCGAUCACAUUUAAAUCUGGAAUGAGAAAUGCUUCUAAAACGAAAAGCUGUGAUAAAAUAUUUUUAAUAAUUAAAUAUUAAUUAAUUUUGGAUUUUAAAACAAUAAUGAAAAUUAAUUAAUCGAAGGAUAUCUAAAAAAAAAAUAUAUCAAAAAAAAUUUCUAUUAAAUAUCAAAAGUUUUUAAAUGGUUGUCACAAAAAAAGAAAAAUCGUCUCAAAUUCGUAUUUUUCGUCUGAAAUUCACACAUCACCAUUAUUUGGUAUUAAAUAACAUGAUUUUAUUAUUUUAAUUAAAAUGGCGAACACCUUGAAAAAUUUCAUAUAUAUUUUACCAAUUAUUUUUAAAGGAAAAUGAACAAUAUUACUAAAUUUCAGACAAAUUAAUUAAUAAGUAAAGAAAAAUAAAAGGAAAAAAAAAAUCAUCUCUUCAAAGCGUUACAGUGAUAGAAAGAAAAAUUGAUAGAAAAAUAUCAAAUUUCGAGCCAAAAAGUUUAUCGUUCACUCAUUUAAUCGAUCAUCGAAAAACAAAUUAAUUGGGAAUAUAAAAUAACUUGAAUAAGAGUAGGAUGAGAAAAGGAAUUACGAUAAGAUAAGGAAGCUAUUAAAAUUUUUGAAUUUUAGCCUACAAAUUAAAAGAAUUUUAAGGUUUUAAAUUCAAAAGCAAAGAAUAUAAGUAAAAUAUUUGGAAAUUCAUAUUGUGGAAUUAUAAAAGUAAAAAUAAGUAAAAAAAAAUUUUUUAAACUUGAAAAAUUAAAUUUAGAAUAAGUCUUAUAUAAACUA